AUACGUAGGGAGCGAGCGUUGUCCGGAAUUACUGGGUGUAAAGGGAGCGUAGGCGGGAUAGCAAGUCAGAUGUGAAAACUAUGGGCUCAACCUGUAGAUUGCAUUUGAAACUGUUGUUCUUGAGUGAAGUAGAGGUAAGCGGAAUUCCUAGUGUAGCGGUGAAAUGCGUAGAUAUUAGGAGGAACAUCGGUGGCGAAGGCGGCUUACUGGGCUUUUACUGACGCUGAGGCUCGAAAGCGUGGGGAGC
rnacentral:rRNA from 1 species